CUAGAAGCAAAACCUUUCAGGAGGGAGGGGUGUCAAGGUCAUGGCAAGGAAGCCUUAGCUCCAGUGUAAGUCCAAAAGCUUUCUUUGUUUGUUUUUAACCCUUGCAUAUUUUAUGGGUGCGCAUGGGCCCCAAAAUUGGUUUUGCAUUUGCAUCUUUCUUUCUUUUUAAUCCAUUUGGUCUCUGAAUUGCUCUCUGCUUCAGUCUGUGCUUUGUGCUCCAAGCUAAGAAGCUCUGUUUCCAUUCACUGAAAUGGGAUAUCUAAAAACAACUACUGUCUAACGCCUCCCCUGUUGAUUAAAGUGGAAUUAAUUUACAUGCAUAGGAACCCCUCCAGAGUGGAUUAAAUUUUGCAGAAAAAUAGGGCCAGGGGCUUUUUAUGGGAGAAGAAAAAGGAUUAACUUUCCUACAUAAUCCAUGUUAGGGCAAUACUAACUUUAUUAGGCCAACAAUAACUCCAAAAUCUAUAAUAGUUGCAUAUUUUUGGGGGGGAAAGCAAGGCUUUAUUUCUUGCUGCUCCUUAAAAUAAUUAAGAGGUUGUUGAGUGGUGUGUGUUCUUGUUUUAUAUUUUUAAAAACUUUGUAGCUUGAUAUGAGACUUCAAGUAGGCCUUACAAGGAGGAGCUGUCCAAAAUACUGCCUGCAGAUUUCUGAAGUGUUCUAGUGUUUGUUUGUUUUGUUAAAGCAGAGCAAUGUAAGGUUCUGCCUGGACACUGAGGUCCAGCGCCAAGGGCCUUCUGGCGGUUCCCUCACUACAAGAAGCCAAGUUACAGGGAACCAGGCAGAGGGUCUUCUCGGUAGUGGCACCCACCCUGUGGAACGCCCUCCCACCAGAUGUCAAAGAGAAAAAUAACUACCAAACUUUUAGAAGACAUCUGGAGGCAGCCCUGUUUAGGGAAGCUUUUAUUGUUUCAUAGGUUAUUGUAUUUUACAAUACAAUUGGAAGUCGCCCAGAGUGGCUGGGGAAACCCAGCCAGAUGGGUGGGGUAUAAAUAAAUAAUAAUAAUACUUAUUAUUAUUAUUAUUAUUAUUAUUAUUAAAUAAAUAAGCAGAUAGAGUGGCCUCAAAAGUCCAGCCUGGUCUGUGGGUCCCCAGUUAGAACUUGCAGAGGGUCAUGUGUUAAUCUGCACCCUGCUAGGCCUACACAACCAGCAGUUACUGUCAGUUUAAUGCACACAGUUAGAGCAGCCAUGAUUGAUGAAGAUGGAUGGCCCCAUUUUAUGCCUUGCAUUGUUUUUGUGCAAACUGCUUGGAACGCCACGCUAGAUUUUGCCAAUUGCCAGAAUGUUGGCAUCCUGAAGGAUGAUAAGAGCAGCAGAAAAGGAGUCAUUAAGCCAAAACAAAGGUGAAGGCAUAACACGUUUUGGCAAGGAAGUGCUGAAGUGUGCCAGAGUGCCAUGGGUAGAGAGCUGCUGCUGAAGCAGGGGUCCUGGCCACUCUUGCCCCCCUUCAGGAUAGACUAUGGUUACUCAUAGUCCAUGUCUUAUGUGGGUUGUCUUCCAAAGCAAGUAAUGAAAUUAAUGCAACAUUUAAUGGAAAGGUCCAGCCCCCCGGUCCAUUUAUUCAGUAAUAUAAAAUGUGUAUUUAGUUUUUUGAGCUAUUUCUUAUCAGAGAGGAAUAGUAUGGUUUUUCUUUCGUUUUCUUUCUUGCUACCUGCCUUGCUGCACCCAACUGAAGACCACAAGGCCCAGCCGAUUGCCUUGGAUUGGUAACUAUGAAUUUCAUUGAUCUUAGGUAACUUAGAAUUGUUUCCCAACUAGAUGGGCUGCAGGGGGUUGGGAGGAGGUUAAGCACUUCAUACAAAUGUAUCAAAUUGCUUUAAGUUGCUUAAAAUUUCAUCAUAUGUCAGUUGCUUUAUUUUCAAUUUUUUAAUGUAACUUAUAAAGAAGGCUGAUCGCAGAAGAAUUGAUGCUUUUGAAUUAUGGUGCUGGAGGAGACUCUUGAGAGUCCCAUGGACUGCAAGAAGAUCAGACCUAUCCAUUCUUAAGGAAAUCAGCCCUGAGUGCUCACUGGAAGGACAGAUCCUGAAGCUGAGGCUCCAAUACUUUGGCCACCUCAUGAGAAGAGAAGACUCCCUGGAAAAGACCCUGAUGUUGGGAAAGAUGGAGGGCACAAGGAGAAGGGGACAACAGAGGACGAGAUGGUUGGAUAGUGUUCUUGAAGCUACCAGCAUGAGUUUGACCAAACUGCGGGAGGCAGUGGAAGACAGGAGUGCCUGGCGUGCUCUGGUCCAUGGGGUCAUGAAGAG